UAAUCUGUUUGAGGCAUAUUACCAUUUAAUUAUAACAAACUCACACAUAAUUGCUCAAAAUCACCCACCAUUGUGUGAAUAAUAACUUAUUAAAAAUUUAAUUAUAGU
rfam:Populus trichocarpa scaffold_10_contig_274, whole genome shotgun sequence.